rnacentral:rRNA from 1 species
AAUAUGUGACAAUGGGGGGAACCCUGAUACAGCCAUGCCGCGUGUGUGAAGAUGGNCUNNGGAUUNUNAAGCACUUUAAGUUGNNNNNAAGAGUUGUAGNCUAAUAUAUUGCACUUUUGAAGUUCUCAACAGAAUAUGUACCGACUAACUUGGUGCCAGCAUCUGCGGUAAUACAGAGGGUGCAAGCGUGAAGCGGAAUUACUGGGAGUAAGGCGCGCGUAGGUGGUUCAGUAAACUGGGUGUGAAAUCCCCGGGCUUAACCUGGGAACUGCUUUCAUAACUGCUGAUCUAGAGUACGGUAGAGGGUAGCGAAAUUUCCUGUGUAGCGGUGAAAUGCGUAGAUAUAGGAAGGAACAUCAGUGGCGAAGGCGGCUACCUGGACUGAUACUGACACUGAGGUGCGAAAGCGUGGGGAGCAAACA